rnacentral:lncRNA from 1 species
AAAGAGAAGGAAAAGAAGAAAAAGAUGGAGAAGAAGAUGAUUACCUCCACCUUCAUCUUCCUCAUGCUUGGAGGAGCUUGAGAGGUAAGUUUCCUAUCACCUCUCAUGGUAGGAAUAGGGUUAGGGUUUGGUUUUUAAACCCUAAAACCUAGAGUUUUGAAGCUUCUAAUAUGUUUAGAACUUUGUAGAGACCUAGAACACAUGAAAUCCAAGUGUUCCUCAAAGUGCUCUAAUGGUGGAACCCUAGAGUUUGUUUUAAAUGCCCUAGGGAUGAUUCUAAUGAGAUGGAAGUAAGUUUAGAGAACUUCUUGGGUGAUUCUAAGCUCGAUUAUGUUUAGUUAUGAGAUCAAUCCCAAGAAAUUUGAUUAUGGCAUUGUUAAGGCACCGAAAUUGGGGCUUUUGCCUCCGGGUGUUUCUAAGGCAAAUUGGCCUUAUGGAAACCUAAUUGGGGACCUAACGAACGCGUUGAAACGCUCGGUUCGGCAAUCCGACGAGCGUACGCGAAGUUAUUGACGAAACGGUCGGUUUUGGUACAGAUAGCCGCAGCACGCGGAAUAAAGGUCUAAAAAUCAUGAGAUCGGAACUGGAGCACCUUGGAGUCAAGGAAUAAACUCCGGAAAAGACGGAUCGCGGUUCGGAGGUCGUUUGGAAGUCGCGCAAGAGUUCGGGCCAAACCGGGCAACGGUUGCCGCGGGAGGCCGAUUGCAAGUGACUACAAGCAAUCGGAGCGCGUGUUAAGGUGGGUUGGUUUACCGAAGCGACUAGGUCGCCUUUAUGUCUAAUUAUUAGACUUUCAUGUUGAUGCAUGUUGAUGAUCGGCAUAGUUGAUGCUAAGUAGAAAUGCAUAAUAUGAUGUAGAUGCUAAAGUUGAUGCAUAUAAAUGUAAAUGAUGCAUGUAGCUAAAUAAUGCAUGAUGAUAGUGUGAUGUAAUUGCUAAAUAGAAUGCAUUAUGAGCAUGUUGAAUAAAGCUAGAUAAUUAUGUGAAUGCAUGUAAGCAUAAUGCAUAGAAUGAAAUGCAUAUUGAUGAUAUAAGUUAAAAUGAGAUAUAGAAUGCAUGUUGACAUUGUGAGAUAAAUGUGCAUGAAACUAGGUUGAUAACCCUAGAAUGAUUAAAGUGAAUGAUGCUAUGCUAAAGUAUAAGUGAUAAGCAUGAUAUAAGAAUAGUAAAUGCAAGUGCAUGUUAAGAAUGCUAAGUAAGGAACAUAUAUAGGUGGACAUGAAUAAACCUAUAGAUCGAGUGGCAUUAAACCUAGUGUCGAGGACAUAGGUUAAAUAAAUGAGAUGUUGAACCUAAUGUAAAGAACAUAGGUUAAAUAAGAGGGAUGUUGAACCUAAUGUAAAGGACAUAGGUUGUGAAAUGAAAGCUGCUUAACCUAGAGUCAAGUAAACCUAGGUUGGAAAAGAAUGAUGAUCCUAGUGUAAUAAACCUAGGUUAAGAAUGUGAAAGCAAUAAACCUAAAGUAAUAACUUAGGUUGUGUAAAGGACAAUGAACCUAGAGUCGAUUGGACCUAGGAGAUAAAUGCUUAGACCUAGAGAGGUCAGUUCCAUAGGGUUAAGACCAACCCUUGGUUGAUGUGAUAUGGAUUCCGGAAUCCCGCUGCUUGCUGCUACACCCAAAGUGGUGUCGGGUGUGUGCGACGAUUUCGCCGCCCAGGGGCUAGAGAACCAUUGUCGUGGCGUGUGUGCGACGAUUUCGCCGCCGGAUGGUUAGCCAGUUUGUGGAUCCUACCGCCUGUUGACUGAACCACUGUCGUGGCGUGUGUGCGACGAUUUCGCCGCCGGGUGACUAAGUCAUUGAACCUAGGCCGUUGUUGGGUGAGGUGCGAUUCGUUCGCCGCCAGACGGCUAGGACAGGAGUACGGUGAGCUGUUGCCAGCUGAGGUGCAUGUGAGAGUUCCUUCACCUCGAGCUAGACAGUGCGCGGACUAUCCGCGAUUGAUUGACUCAAGACCGAGUCGGGUGGCUUUGUUGACUAAGGUAAAGUGACCUUAGAGUAGAAUGCCAAAGGCUAAGAGAUAGCAUGGUUCAAGAAUGUUAAGAGUAAAGAACAGCUAAACGAUAAUGAAUAGCUAAAGAGUAAAGAAUAGCUAAAGAACAAUGAAUAGAUAAUGAAAGGAAUAGCUAAGAGCUAAAAAUAAGCAUUAAAUGGCAAGGAGUAAAGAAUGAUUAAGAACAUAAGUAGUGUUAAAGUAACCUACUUGCAUGAUUACAGGUAUUGCAUAUUGCAUUUCGUGAGGCAUGACAUGUAUUUCAAUUGAAUAUAUAUCUGUUGUAUAUUGUUGAUCUAACAUGUUGUAGUGCCUCGUUAGACCUGUUGGCUGAGCUUGUUCUCUUGGGUGGCUAAACCCACUGAGGACUAUGGACAAUAGUCUCACCCCCGUGUUGCUGUUUUGGGGGUACAGGUAUACACGUGUGCGGCGCGGCGGCGGAAGGCGAGGACGUAGUUCUGCAGAUAGCGUCCUACCCAGAGACUGAGAUAGCAGUACCCGAGUUGGUGGUCUAGCUUUGGAGGUUUAAAAACAAAAAUAAACUUUUGUUUAAGUUGUAAAAGAAUCUGUAAUGAUUAUGAUUGCAUUUGGAGGUUAAUUGUAAAAGAAAAAUUAUGUUGUAAAAUGCAUCUAAGUUGAAUGCUGUAAUAACUUAGUAGUUAUGUUUUUGAUACUUCCUUAUGCAAUCUGUGAAUGAAUACUGUUCCUGUUUGGAACCUCUCGUAUUGUUUUGAUUGCGACGCCUUGGACGUACAGGGGAGACUCUGUCCGUUCGGCGGUCUGUCGGCGGCGCCGCGACCCGGCCAAAUUGGCGGGUGGUCGUGGGGCGUGACAGAUAAGAUGGUAUCAGAGCAUAAAGUAGAGAAUGGGAAUGGUUUAGGCAGACCUAGGAGACCCUAGGAUAGUGAAACCAUAGAGGUUAAGACUCGUGAGAGACGAGGAUUUGUGACUUGUGGCGAAAGAUAAUUAAUUGGGUCAAGUGUUGAAACCUCUAAGACGGAUAUUGGAGGUAGAUUCAAGGUGUUGUUGAUUCUCAACCGAGGGUGUUCAUGUUGGGUGCACACAACAUGAAGCCGAGCGAUGAGAAUAGACUCCCUUGCGUGACUUUCGCCCGAUUGGCUUUUGAGCCGGUGUUAAUGGUCUCGUGUUCGACUCAAGUUGGUCGGGAACUAAUCAAAUUGUCGUGUUUCAGGAAACGAUGGCACCGCGUAGGCGAUCUUCAUCCAGAUCGGCGCGGGAGGGGACAAGUGGUGAUCCCGAGCGAACCGACGCUAGCGGAGACUCAGAGCUUCGUGAUCAGUUGGCCACACUUAUAGGAGUGAUGAGGCAACAAGCUGAUGUAGUGCAGAGGCAACAGGAGGCUGCUAUGCGCCAGGAGGAACAAAUGAAAAGACUCCAGGAAACAGUGGAUCGGCUGGUGGCUGCGCCAGUUGCGGCUGGUCAAGGACAGCCGGGAGUUGCAGCGGGGGCAUUUCCGUCGGCUUUGGGUGAUCCAACUUCUAUUGGUUCAGAGGUGGUGGCGAAAAGGGAGCGAGCCUUGGCGGCUCUCAUGGCUUUCAAGAAGUUUGAUCCGCCUAUCUUUGAUGGAGAGGACACAGAUCCGUGGAUCGUGGAGAUGUGGACUGAUUCCAUGAAAACGCUCUUCGAGGAUUUGUACACGUUGGAGCGGGACAAGGUAAACCUAGCCGUGCACUACUUGAGACAGUCGGCGAAGGUGUGGUGGAAAGGCGUUAAGCGAGAUCGAUCGCCUAGUCUCCCUCCUAUGACUUGGGAAGAGUUUCGGGGAUUGGUGUUCUCAGCCCAUUUCCCCGACAAUGAAAAGCGAAAGCUUAAGGAAAGAUUCCAAAAGUUGCGGCAAGGAGAUCGCUCAGUUAGGCAAUACGAGCGGGAAUUCUCUCGUAUCGUGCAUUGUAUCCCAAACGUGGUGCGGGAUGACAAGGAUAAGGCCGACUGCUUUGUGCGUGGGCUUCGGCCGGAUCUUUACCAGGCUGUGCUCGUACUUAAGAUACAGACUUUUGCUGAGGUCUUGGAUCGGGCCUUGUGGAUAGAACAGGGCAACGCCUUUAUGCGGGAAGAGCGAGAGGCAUAUUACAAGGAAAAGGGGAAAGGACGACCAACAGGUGGAUCCAGUGGUCAGUCAAGUUCCCAACGGACUUCGACGAGUUCGCACUCGCGAUCCCGAGCUCCGGGGACAUACCGCAUUCGGUCCUCGGCGAAGUGUGCUAUUUGUGGAGGCCCUCAUUUUCCACAGCAAUGUGAACAGCGAGAGGGCAAGUGCUUCAAGUGUGGGCUGUCGGGCCAUAUGCGGGACGAGUGUCCGCGUGGUGAUGGCCGGGCCUUGGCACUGGCGACGGCCCAUUCCUCUCUGGGACAACCUGCAGGUGUGCCACCUGCGGUAUGGUCGGGAUAGCGGCCGUUUAGGACGAUGCAACCAGAGGGUUUGCGACGAACGCCAAGUGGGCAUGGAUAAGCGACCCGAAUUGCGGAGCCUGUCGCUGCUGACGUCAUCGUGGCAGGUAUGAGUUAAUUGAGAAAACAUGUGCUUUUACUAAUCUCAAGCUGGUGCAUAGCAUGCAUUUAUUGUUGGUCGGUUGCUACUAAUUAUAUAUUGCAUUUAUUGCAUAGUUGGGUAAGUAGACACCCGUACACACUUGCAUUGUGAGAAGUGGUACCUGCUGGUGCAAGUAGAAAGCCAAGUGGUGCUAGCUAAUGGCUAGUGAUGAUUCUCCGAUAAGCAAUGAGGCUCGUGGAGAACGUGGUCUAGUAAGUGACUCUCGAAAUAAUGGAUUGGAAAUUAUGGGAGUUGAGCCUGAUGUUGAGGGUACUCGAAAGACUCGGGAGUUGAGAAUGUGUUCCGGUAGAUCGGACAGUGAAAGUAGAAUCACAGUGGUGAGAGUAGCCGUGUAGUUGACGGACGCGGGCCUGUUGGCCUAGUAAUACCGCGAAGUUGAGGUGGACGAGUUGUGCUCAUGUAGUGGACGUGCAUAGGCAAGCUGCCUGAUGCUGGAUUUCAUGUUAGACGCUGUAGAGGCGUAGAGCGCUCGAGUAUAGUUACUCGUGAGGUGCGGUUUCGAUUCAGCCGGUUGAGUGAGUUGACAGUAGCACUUUAGCAAGGCUAAGUGUGAAGCGGGCCAUGGAUCACUCAUGGGGCUGGUGGCUCGCACAAGGUGCUUAGGAGCCGAUAGUGGUACUUGUAGCUCUGUAGAGCAUGUCGUGUAGGACGACGUUGGUGGGUAGUGCUUGGGGACGACCCGUGUUUGGACCACUUGUGGACUAUGGAGCCUGGUGGGCAGGCGCAGUCAGCUGUGAGAGACAGCGGCUCGGUACCUAUUGGUAGGGCGAGAGUUUUGAUCAGGACGGUAGUCCGAGCUUGGACCCGAGUGCGUGGAAUGUCACGUGUUAGAAUGCGAGAUUUGCAAUACACCGAGUGUGUUGUGACCCAACCCGAGGACUUGACGUGGUUUGGGGUCUUGAUAGCUCCUGGUUGGAGUGUGUGCGAGUUCUCCAAUGAGAAUGUCGCCCAAUGAUGAUUGGGUCUACGCUUGCGAGCGAGAGACGCUAAGCGUCGUUGAGACGAGUUUAGUCGGUAGGCCUACGUAGGAUUGGUGACCUUUGGUCCACCUGAGGAAAUCGAUGAUUGAUGUAACCAAGGACUCUGUAAGUGAGUUGGGCUCGGAUCCACGAACGGAGGUUCGUGUGACGUUGAUUGUGGCUCAUGACAUCAAGGGAUAAAGAGAAAGUUAAGUGGUCUCUAGGAGACACUGGAAUGAUGGAUAGCCACGUGCGGAUAUUGCUCUAAAAAAGGAUUGAGAUCUGAGAUGUGCGCGAGUGUGCCAUCUCGUGAUAGAGCAGGAAUUUGAUGGAGGUUGAAGCACUCGCGAUGGGCCGAUGCACCAAUGAUUUUGUCGUUAUGCAAUGCCGGUGGUCGGAAUCAAAGUGAAAAGGUGCGUUGGUUCCCUCAAUAACUCGAUAGAUCGAGUGGAGAUGUGGUUUGAAUUUCGCGGACGAAAUUCUUUUAAGGGGGGGAGAAUGUAACCCCCGAGAUCUCGGUGAAAUAUUGUGGACUUUAGCCAAAUUGACUAAAGUACUCGAAAGGAUUGGUUGGACGCGAUCCAUUAACAUCCCAACCAUGUUAGAAGGGUUAAAAAUGAGUUCUAAAAGAGUUAGAAAGGUUUUAGCGUUGUCCGGCGCGAAAUAGAGUCGAAAACAAGCUAAAAACCAAGUCUGGAGCAUUGUGUACCGGUACAAGUUGAUGGUUGUACCGGUACAACAAGCAACCCGAAGAAUGGCAACUCUCGGGUUUGAGUGAAAAAGGCUGUUAAACCGGUGACACGGGAAAGUGUACCGGUACACUUUGGCAGAAUGGCAAAGAUUUGGUUUGCUGCAAUUAUAAUUGAUUGGAGGGGUUUAUUUGUAAUUGUUACCUAAUGUAAUAGCCCUAAACCCCUCUCCCUCACAGCAGAUCUCUCUCCUGUCUCUCCCUCUCGUGUCUCUCCCUCUCUCUCUCAACCGGUUGCAAGAAAAAGAGAAGGAAAAAGAGAAGGAAAAGAAGAAAAAGAUGGAGAAGAAGAUGAUUACCUCCACCUUCAUCUUCCUCAUGCUUGGAGGAGCUUGAGAGGUAAGUUUCCUAUCACCUCUCAUGGUAGGAAUAGGGUUAGGGUUUGGUUUUUAAACCCUAAAACCUAGAGUUUUGAAGCUUCUAAUAUGUUUAGAACUUUGUAGAGACCUAGAACACAUGAAAUCCAAGUGUUCCUCAAAGUGCUCUAAUGGUGGAACCCUAGAGUUUGUUUUAAAUGCCCUAGGGAUGAUUCUAAUGAGAUGGAAGUAAGUUUAGAGAACUUCUUGGGUGAUUCUAAGCUCGAUUAUGUUUAGUUAUGAGAUCAAUCCCAAGAAAUUUGAUUAUGGCAUUGUUAAGGCACCGAAAUUGGGGCUUUUGCCUCCGGGUGUUUCUAAGGCAAAUUGGCCUUAUGGAAACCUAAUUGGGGACCUAACGAACGCGUUGAAACGCUCGGUUCGGCAAUCCGACGAGCGUACGCGAAGUUAUUGACGAAACGGUCGGUUUUGGUACAGAUAGCCGCAGCACGCGGAAUAAAGGUCUAAAAAUCAUGAGAUCGGAACUGGAGCACCUUGGAGUCAAGGAAUAAACUCCGGAAAAGACGGAUCGCGGUUCGGAGGUCGUUUGGAAGUCGCGCAAGAGUUCGGGCCAAACCGGGCAACGGUUGCCGCGGGAGGCCGAUUGCAAGUGACUACAAGCAAUCGGAGCGCGUGUUAAGGUGGGUUGGUUUACCGAAGCGACUAGGUCGCCUUUAUGUCUAAUUAUUAGACUUUCAUGUUGAUGCAUGUUGAUGAUCGGCAUAGUUGAUGCUAAGUAGAAAUGCAUAAUAUGAUGUAGAUGCUAAAGUUGAUGCAUAUAAAUGUAAAUGAUGCAUGUAGCUAAAUAAUGCAUGAUGAUAGUGUGAUGUAAUUGCUAAAUAGAAUGCAUUAUGAGCAUGUUGAAUAAAGCUAGAUAAUUAUGUGAAUGCAUGUAAGCAUAAUGCAUAGAAUGAAAUGCAUAUUGAUGAUAUAAGUUAAAAUGAGAUAUAGAAUGCAUGUUGACAUUGUGAGAUAAAUGUGCAUGAAACUAGGUUGAUAACCCUAGAAUGAUUAAAGUGAAUGAUGCUAUGCUAAAGUAUAAGUGAUAAGCAUGAUAUAAGAAUAGUAAAUGCAAGUGCAUGUUAAGAAUGCUAAGUAAGGAACAUAUAUAGGUGGACAUGAAUAAACCUAUAGAUCGAGUGGCAUUAAACCUAGUGUCGAGGACAUAGGUUAAAUAAAUGAGAUGUUGAACCUAAUGUAAAGAACAUAGGUUAAAUAAGAGGGAUGUUGAACCUAAUGUAAAGGACAUAGGUUGUGAAAUGAAAGCUGCUUAACCUAGAGUCAAGUAAACCUAGGUUGGAAAAGAAUGAUGAUCCUAGUGUAAUAAACCUAGGUUAAGAAUGUGAAAGCAAUAAACCUAAAGUAAUAACUUAGGUUGUGUAAAGGACAAUGAACCUAGAGUCGAUUGGACCUAGGAGAUAAAUGCUUAGACCUAGAGAGGUCAGUUCCAUAGGGUUAAGACCAACCCUUGGUUGAUGUGAUAUGGAUUCCGGAAUCCCGCUGCUUGCUGCUACACCCAAAGUGGUGUCGGGUGUGUGCGACGAUUUCGCCGCCCAGGGGCUAGAGAACCAUUGUCGUGGCGUGUGUGCGACGAUUUCGCCGCCGGAUGGUUAGCCAGUUUGUGGAUCCUACCGCCUGUUGACUGAACCACUGUCGUGGCGUGUGUGCGACGAUUUCGCCGCCGGGUGACUAAGUCAUUGAACCUAGGCCGUUGUUGGGUGAGGUGCGAUUCGUUCGCCGCCAGACGGCUAGGACAGGAGUACGGUGAGCUGUUGCCAGCUGAGGUGCAUGUGAGAGUUCCUUCACCUCGAGCUAGACAGUGCGCGGACUAUCCGCGAUUGAUUGACUCAAGACCGAGUCGGGUGGCUUUGUUGGCUAAGGUAAAGUGACCUUAGAGUAGAAUGCCUGUAAUACACUGAAUUUUUGCAAAUUGCGAAAUUCGAGUGUGAGAAAUGAUGUGUGGAACUCUUCUACAUGUUCUAUAGGACUUGGACAAGCUUUUGGAUAAGUUAGAGGAUGAUUGGAAUGCUAAAAGUGAGAAAAUGCAUUGAUCUGCGAAAAUCAGCAUUUUUUCUGCUUGUUGUACCGGUACAGCCAUCACCUUGUACCGGUACAGCAUAGGCAGAUUUGUGGCAGCUUGGGUAUUUUUGUAAUUUCACAUCUUACCCUUAACUAUACCCCCCUGCACGACCC